rfam:Gossypium hirsutum cultivar TM-1 chromosome 1, whole genome shotgun sequence
AAUCCAUGGUCAGGGCAUCUUCGCAAAAGGUCCUUGUAUCUCUCCUAUGCAUCGUAGAGUGUUUAUAAAUCCAUCUGUAAAAAAGAGGAGAUAUCAUUACGUAAUU